rnacentral:rRNA from 1 species
CUUUUCUCCUAUGGGCCAUCCGCCUUCUCAGGGCCGAGACACUGGCCCUCUCCAUCACACGCACCAAGCUCUGUCUUCUCUUCCUUGGAUUCCUCUCCUCAUCCACACAGCCCCCAUUCCCCUCCCACCCCUCUCCCUGUCCACCCCUGCCUCUCUCCACUCUCUCUCCUUAUCUGCUUACAGCUCCUUCAAGUUCGAUGCUGCUCCAACCGCACCAGAUCCCUGGAUAGCCACAUCCUCCGACGAGUCUCCGCAGUGCUAUGCUAUUUCCCAGGUUUUCGGUCUAUUUGAGUGUUCCACAAAGCCGGCCAGGAGAUACUAGAAGCACGGCCCCGGAGUGAAGAUAAAAAACAAACCAGUUCGUUGGUGGAUUCAAUCUUGGUGAAGUUUUCCUUAUGGAGGAAACCAAAUGCUGGCCUCUAUGAUCUGUUGCACAUACUGAUCUGUCCCAAGGUCUCUUCUAAAAAGUUGAGCACACCAUGGAAGCUGAAAACAUAAAGCUUGAUGAUGAUGUUGUUGUGCCUGGUACGCUUGAUGAAGACGACGCCAGUCAAAAUAAUAUAAUACCAUUGUCCUAUGCUGGCAAGACUCGUUGUAUGACUCACUCCUAUCGUGAUGGAAUGGUUGGUUCCCAUGUCCACACCUCACCUGAUAUAAUCACCAGCUUCACAUGUAACCCAAAGUGGGCUCAAAUAACAAAGACGCUUAAGCCUGAACAACAGCAAGUCAAUAAGGCUGCUGAGACUGAUCGUAUCUAUCGCAUGAAGCUGCAUGAGUAUCUGCAAAAGAUCAAUGAAGGGAAGAUAUUUGGGCCUGUUAUCUCUGGUAAUGUGGCUGAUGAUAUAUCUCUGAUUUCUUCAUUUUCCUUUGACAUGCACGGCCAAUCUCCUCUUUUACAGUUAUCCACGACAUCGAAUUUUUAAAAAAAGGGCUACCGCAUGCCCGGGUCCUUGUUUGGCAGAAGAAAAAACAUAACAAAGUGGUCAUCCCAGCUUUCAUGAAAACCUUUGCUUCAGCCACUGUUGGGAUCUGAACUUACUGAUACUAUUGGCGAUGUUCCUGGGUAUGGUCAGAUGCCUAAGCUAGAAAGAGAUGAGCCGGCUGUUGCAGCGUAUGAUUCAUCAGGCACAUUAGAGUCGAGCUGAACCCAACUUUCAAAUGAGCAUAAGAAAGCGAUGAUUUUGUGCAUGGAGUCUUGCUGCCUUGAUCAUUGGUACCUCGGCCCUCGCUAUCUUCACCCCACGACAAGUAACAAUUACCUUUUGAACAACAGCCAACCUUUGGCCUCGUGAAGAGACACGAAAGCUCUCUUCGAUCAAUUCCUUGUUUAAGAUCUGUAUUAGACUACUUCCAAGCCUUGUACAAAUCACCACGACUCUCCCUGCUUCCCCUGUCUCCUCAGUAACUGUUUGUAUCCAUUGUAAAUGCUCAUUCAGCCAUGUUGCCGGACAUAUAUGUUAUAACCACUGCCAUGCUAAGUAUUCUCUGCUUUAUAUCUGUGUGCUCAACCUUCUCAGUUUUUUAUUAAAUCUUAAACUGUAAUCACUGACCUUUGUACAGUUUAUUAAUUAAGAGUGAAACUCCGUUAGCA